UAAGAGUGAUACUGUAUUCUAGAGGCCGUGAGCCAGCGUGAGCACUGUGAAGCCCCGGGUAGCAUUUGUUGCUUCACAUGGUCAGGUUUUUUCCCUUUGCUUAUUUGGAUUGGAUUGGUUUUGAGGACCUGAGAAGAAUCGAGGAUCCCUUUUCCAGUACUGGAUGGCGAGCCCAGCCCAAAGAGCCGGAUGAACUGGUAGAUUGUAACCCGACUGGUUAAAAAGACACUGAGUGACUAUUGAACAUUGACAGACUGAAAUUGACU